GGGAAGAGCAGAAAUACGUCAAGCUGUCUGAGCUGACAUUCAAUGCUUUCUUGAAAGAAGUGUGUCUAAAAUUCAACAUACCAGAAAGCAGAAAGCCAGACAUUAAGGUGUAUGACCAGUCUGACACAGAAGUUGACUCAGAUGUUUUUGAAGAAUUAGUAAAGGAGUCACCUGGAACUUUCAGAAUCAUGCUGGGCAAUGGACUUGAUACCUCUCAUUCAUCAUCAUGCUCGGGUACAUCUGAUGACACCAUCAUUCUGAAUUUCACUGUGUGUGACGAUGUUGAAGAAGUAGCGGCUGGCGAAGGAAGCCAGCCUAAAAGGCCAUGCCACAUAAACUAUGAGGCAAAAGCACUGAUUGAAAAAAUCCUAACAUCAAAGCCUGGUGGUGAACGCAUUAUGCAAGAGUAUGGAAAAACCAAAUCUCUGACAGAUGCCACCAGAAGACAGAUGAUCAACAUACUUGCUGCUGAGAUGACAGAAACACAUGGGUAAGCAUUAAGCAUAUAGAUGGGCUGUAAAGAAACAUUGUUAUUAUUUUCCGGUUAUUAAUUAUGUAAAAUGUGUUGUGCAAUAUCAAUUCAGUGUGAUGUUAACUUUGAAUUCAUA